UCCUUGUGAUCAUCGACACCCCUUAUUUAAGUCCAGUUCACUGUUGCUGCCGACACAGAUACUCGAGUCUGCGGUGGAAAAGAGACCUCUACUUCUCGUCUGCGAAAUGGCCUCGUUCGCAUUGCGCUUGUGUUUUGUUCUGGCUGCUCUGCUGAUGGCUAGUUUUGUUUGUGGAACACCCUUCUUUGAAGAAAAGCCUGGCCUAUGCCCCAGGCUCAAUGCCCCCCAAAUACCUGGCCAUGAGAACCCUUGUAGCAGUGACUAUGACUGUCCAAGGGUUCAGAAGUGCUGUCUCGUUGGAUCACCUUCAGCCAACGCUAAAAUAUGUGCAGAGCCCUAAAUUGCCCACUGACUGGCAACUGCUUUUGGAUUUAUAACAGUUCAGCCGAUGCAUAGAUUAGGUUAAAUAUGCAGGCACACUUACAAUCAAACAUAUUAUCUACUUUUCUUCGAAGUAACGGAACAUGUGGGUUCCACAACAACGACCAUUGCAUCAUACCACCGGAUCCUCAGUAGAUAAAAGGCAGCACGUGGGCCCCUAUAGCUUCAGUUCAGAGCCGCUUCUCGUCGCUUGCUCAUCCUGUCUAGUUGAUUGGGAUUUCCAUGAUGACUUUCCGAGGAAUGAAUGCCUGCGUGGUGUGCGUCGCCGUGAUGCUUACGCUGACAAGCACCGUGCAGGCGGGUCCUACAUACAAAGAGAAGCCCGGAUCGUGUCCGCUCUUCCCGGCUCCUCCACCUCCCCGGGACGGCCCGUUUUCCCUUGGCGCUCGUGCUGACUUCACACCGGAUCGCAAGUCACGUCACUUGCCGCUCUGAUUUCGACUGUGUUGGCCGUAAGAAAUGCUGCGCGACUGGCGCUUGUUGUGGUACGGUGUGUACUGAACCGUGGGAUUGAUUUCAUCACUGAUAACAUCAUGGUUAUUAAGAGUCAACUGCCUUGAAGAUAACCAUGGUUCAGCGUGAGCGAUCGUCAUAUGUCUGUAAUGGUAAAGAUUGUUGAUCCUUCAGAAUAAAAUUUGAAUAAAUAA